AUGAACGCUGGCGGCAUGCCUUACACAUGCAAGUCGAACGGCAGCACGGGAGCAAUCCUGGUGGCGAGUGGCGAACGGGUGAGUAAUAUAUCGGAACGUGCCAGUCGUGGGGAUAACGUAGCGAAAGCUACGCUAAUACCGCAUACGAUCUAUGGAUGAAAGCGGGGAUCGCAAGACCUCGCGCGAUUGGAGCGGCCGAUAUCAGAUUAGGUAGUUGGUGAGGUAAAGGCUCACCAAGCCGACGAUCUGUAGCUGGUCUGAGAGGACGACCAGCCACACUGGGACUGAGACACGGCCCAGACUCCUACGGGAGGCAGCAGUGGGGAAUUUUGGACAAUGGGCGCAAGCCUGAUCCAGCAAUGCCGCGUGCAGGAUGAAGGCCUUCGGGUUGUAAACUGCUUUUGUACGGAACGAAACGGCGAGCUCUAAUACAGUUUGCUAAUGACGGUACCGUAAGAAUAAGCACCGGCUAACUACGUG
rnacentral:rRNA from 1 species